rnacentral:rRNA from 1 species
UACAGAGGUGGCAAGCGUUGUUCGGAAUUACUGGGCGUAAAGGGCGCGUAGGCGCCUUCUCAGUCAGACGUGAAAUCCCCGGGCUUAACUCGGGAACUGCGUUCUGAUACUGGAAGGCUGGAGUUCGGGAGAGGGAUGUGGGAAUUCCAGGUGUAGCGGUGAAAUGCGUAGAUAUCAGGAGGAACACCGGUGGCGAAGGCGCCACUCUGGGCCGAAACUGACGCUGAGGAGCGAAAGCGUGGGUAGCAAACAGG